UUUCCGUAGGUGAAUCUGCGGAAGGAUCAUUAAAGAGUAAGGGACUUCGGGCCCGAUCUCCAACCCUUUGUUUAACUACCAUGUUGCUUUGGCGGGCCCGUCUCACGACGGCCGGAAGUUUGGCUUCGACCAAACUUCUGGCGCGUGCCCGUCAGUGGCCCCUUCAAAUUCUUUAUCAAGUAUGUUGUCUUAGUUAAAAACUUAAUAGUUAAAACUUUCAACAACGGAUCUCUUGGUUCUG
rnacentral:misc_RNA from 1 species